rnacentral:misc_RNA from 1 species
UCCGAGUUGACCCCGGCAGUCUCCUAUGAGUCCCCGGCAUGACCCACUGGCAACAUAGGACGAGGGCUGCGCUCGUUGCGGGACUUAACCCAACAUCUCACGACACGAGCUGACGACAACCAUGCACCACCUGUGAACCGGCCCCAAAGGGGAAACCACAUUUCUGCGGCGGUCCGGUCCAUGUCAAGCCUUGGUAAGGUUCUUCGCGUUGCAUCGAAUUAAUCCGCAUGCUCCGCCGCUUGUGCGGGCCCCCGUCAAUUCCUUUGAGUUUUAGCCUUGCGGCCGUAGUCCCCAGGCGGAGCACUUAUUACGUUAGCUGCGCUACCGGAGGGGUCGAUACCCCCGACAGCUAGUGCUCAUCGUUUACGGCGUGGACUAC